GGGAUCAACAAAAUUGGGAAAAUGGCAGAAAUGAAACACAUCCCUUGCGAAGCAAGUGUAAUGGCAUCACUUCAAAAGGCUCGUGAGAUGUCACCGGAGAGGCUGCGAACACGACGACCCGAGCGUUCCUGCAACCUCUUGCAUCGUAUUUUCUGGAGGAGACGUUGAAGAGGCUGACCUCCACAUCAAGGUGGACCGCGAGAUGUUUGCAGUGAAAAAUGGGGAGGAGGGGCUGGCGGCUGUUUUAUCUGCUUACUGGCUCUUCAAUAUCCAGUACGACCGCAAGCUGUUCAACACUCUUCUCGUGUUGGAGCGCCUUUUCCUUGGGCUCACAUUGAGUACCCCUAGAGUAGUGGCUACAAAGUUCUUGAACAAUGUUGCCAAAUGUGUGCCAUGUUUAAUGUGCUGAAGCUGUGCACUGUUACCUCAUCAUGAGUUUAGCUGUAAUUUUCAGAUGCAAGUUUUGUUUUGUCUAACCAUUUCUGCAAUACAUAUGAAGGAAGCCAACAGUCACCGAUAACAAGGCAAGCUUAUGGCAACGCUAUUUGUUUUUUUUUAUUUGCAGUGUUAGUAGUUUGAAAUUAUUAGUGUAAUUAUUUUCAGAUGUGGUUAGUUAGGAUCCCACUGGCAGAAUGUGGUUUUCUGCUUUCUGAUCAUUUACCUGUCAGCCAUAAAAUGAUUACACUAACAAUUUUCUAUUGUAAGCACCACAAAUUGUUAAAACUUAGAAGCAUUCUCCAUGUGGGGCGUUCCUUGGUCUCGGUCACUGUUGGCAUUUUUCAUAUGCAUUACAGAAAGGGUUAAACUAUUCAACACUUUCUUAUCUAAAUGUUACAGGUAAACUGUCUUUUGUAUUACAUCAUUAGCUCUUUUUAACUUUCAAUAACUAAGCAAGAUUCUAGU